rnacentral:lncRNA from 1 species
ACCUCGGUGCAGGGUUGCUGUGCCAACAAUGACAAAAGGCUCUUGGAAGUUGGGCAAGGCUAACACAGGUAUUUGUGUCAUUGUUUUCUUUACUUUGUCAAAUGCUAGUUGUGCUUCAGGGGACCACUAGAAGGCCUUUUUGCUGAGCAAAGUGUUGAGAGGUUGAGUGAGUAAGCCAUACCCUUUUAUGAAUCUCCUGUAGUAUCCAGUUAGUCCUAAGAAACCUCUUAAUUCUGUGACAGAUGUUGGAACUGGCCAGUUUUGCAUAUCUUGAAUCUUUCUAGGAUCAGUAGAGACCCAUAUGAUAUGGCCCAAGUAAGAGAUGCUUUGUUGAGCAAAUGAACAUUUAGAUUCUUUCAGGUAUAAUUGGUUCUGCCUGAGAAGCUCAAAAACCUCCUGUAAAUGUACCAGGUGGUCAUCCAGGGUAGGGCUGUAGAUCAGGAUGCCAUCUAAAAAUACCAGGACACAUUUCCUCAGGUAAGGUUGCAGGAUGUGGUUCAUGAGGCACUGAAAUGUAGCUGGAGCAUUUGUUAACCCAAAUGGCAUGACCUUGUACUGGUAAUGGCCCUGAUGGGUUUUGAAAGUUGUUUUAUACUCAUCUGCAGGGUCCAUUCGCACCUGAUGAUAGCCAGAUUUCAUAUCCAACUUGGUGAAGUAUUUGGUACCAGCCAGCUCAUCAAGAAUUUCUUCAAUGAUUGGCAUUGGAAAUCUGUUCUUGAUAGUUAGAGCAUUGAGCUUUCUGUAAUCCAGACAAAGUCUCCAGGUACCAUCCUUCUUUUUCACUAGCAAUACUGGGGAUGCAAAGGGGCUUUUGCUGUGUGUAAUGAAUCCAGAUUGCAGUAAUUCCUGCACUUGCUGCUCAAUUUCAGUUUUAUGAUGAGGAGAGUAGUGAUAUGGUUUGCUAUUGACAGGGACAGAACCAGGGUAUAAUGGGAUAGCAUGGUCAUGGGUUCUGUGAGGUGGCAGCAUAGUAGGUGUUUGAAAAAUGUCCUUGUAUUGCAAGAGGAGGUGUUGAAUCUGCUCAGGUACUGUUGCUGUUUUGUCCAUGUGAUGAUGUUGUUCAACCAGGACAAAGGCCCACACCUCAUUGCCUUUAGCCAUUUUGUGAGCUUUAGUAGCUGAGAUUGUGUUCACCUCCCUGAUUGGAGUAUGUAGUCCUUUCAGAGUGAUUGAUUUUCCAUCUUCUAUGAAAGUCAUUGUUUUCUGAUCCCAGUCAAAAGUCAUAUGUGGAUGUGCUUCAAGCCAGUCAUACCCCAAAAUUGCAUCAUAAGGUUGCAUAUCCAACACUAUCAUGUUACUUGUCAUAGUAUGCCCUUGACAGUACCAUUUCAUGUUUGCUGCCAUACUGUUUGUAGUGAUAGUGUUGCCAUUGGCUAACUUAACUCUUUUAGGUUGAGUUGGGCUUACUGGUAAGUCUGUCAUAUCUGCAAACUGCUUGCUGACAAAGCUAUGGGAGCUUCCACUAUCCAGUAGGACCAACAUCACCUUGUCUUUUACUUUCGCUUUGAAUUUUAGGCAGGCAAGGUUGUCCUUUGUGGUGAUGGCAUUGAGGGAAAGCUGACAGAAUUGUUCAUUAAGCUCAUCUUCUGUGGCCAGUGCAUUGAGGAUUUCAUCAG